rnacentral:rRNA from 1 species
UACGAAGGGGGCUAGCGUUGCUCGGAAUCACUGGGCGUAAAGCGCACGUAGGCGGACUCUUAAGUCGGUGGUGAAAUCCUGGAGCUCAACUCCAGAACUGCCUUCGAUACUGAGAGUCUCGAGUCCGAGAGAGGUGAGUGGAACUGCGAGUGUAGAGGUGAAAUUCGUAGAUAUUCGCAAGAACACCAGUGGCGAAGGCGGCUCACUGGCUCGGUACUGACGCU